rnacentral:rRNA from 1 species
GGGCGGGCUGGUGCUUACCAUGCAGUCGAGCGGUAAGGCCCUUCGGGGUACACGAGCGGCGAACGGGUGAGUAACACGUGGGUAACCUGCCCUGUACUCUGGGAUAAGCCUUGGAAACGAGGUCUAAUACCGGAUAUGACACUGGAUCGCAUGGUCUGGUGUGGAAAGUUCCGGCGGUAUGGGAUGGACCCGCGGCCUAUCAGCUUGUUGGUGGGGUAAUGGCCUACCAAGGCGACGACGGGUAGCCGGCCUGAGAGGGUGACCGGCCACACUGGGACUGAGACACGGCCCAGACUCCUACGGGAGGCAGCAGUGGGGAAUAUUGCACAAUGGGCGAAAGCCUGAUGCAGCGACGCCGCGUGAGGGAUGACGGCCUUCGGGUUGUAAACCUCUUUCAGCAGGGACGAAGCGCAAGUGACGGUACCUGCAGAAGAAGCACCGGCUAACUACGUGCCAGCAGCCGCGGUAAUACGUAGGGUGCGAGCGUUGUCCGGAAUUAUUGGGCGUAAAGAGCUCGUAGGCGGUUUGUCGCGUCGGCCGUGAAAACUUGGGGCUUAACCCCGAGCCUGCGGUCGAUACGGGCAGACUUGAGUUCGGCAGGGGAGACUGGAAUUCCUGGUGUAGCGGUGAAAUGCGCAGAUAUCAGGAGGAACACCGGUGGCGAAGGCGGGUCUCUGGGCCGAUACUGACGCUGAGGAGCGAAAGCGUGGGGAGCGAACAGGAUUAGAUACCCUGGUAGUCCACGCCGUAAACGGUGGGUGCUAGGUGUGGGGGACUUCCACGUCCUCCGUGCCGCAGCUAACGCAUUAAGCACCCCGCCUGGGGAGUACGGCCGCAACGCUAAAACUCAAACGAAUUGACAGGGGCCCGCACAAGCGGCGGAGCAUGUGGAUUAAUUCGAUGCAACGCGAAGAACCUUACCUG